AGCGAACGCUGGCGGCAGGCUUAACACAUGCAAGUCGAACGGGCGUAGCAAUACGUCAGUGGCAGACGGGUGAGUAACGCGUGGGAACGUGCCUUUUGGUUCGGAACAACUGAGGGAAACUUCAGCUAAUACCGGAUAAGCCCUUACGGGGAAAGAUUUAUCGCCAAAAGAUCGGCCCGCGUCUGAUUAGCUAGUUGGUGAGGUAAUGGCUCACCAAGGCGACGAUCAGUAGCNGGUCUGAGAGGAUGAUCAGCCACACUGGGACUGAGACACGGCCCAGACUCCUACGGGAGGCAGCAGUGGGGAAUAUUGGACAAUGGGCGCAAGCCUGAUCCAGCCAUGCCGCGU
rnacentral:rRNA from 1 species